rnacentral:lncRNA from 1 species
UUUGUAGCAUACCGAACUUCUAAAGUUAUGAAGUUACGGAGUAUGCUAGGUUAGAGAAGCUAUUGGAAUGGUUCUGGUGAAGUCCGGGAGUAUUCGGGCAUUUUCGGUGCGCGUCGAGCGUGAAAACGGGAUCCGAAAGGCUAUGUUGAACAAUGAGUUAAAUCCGACAUUAGCGUGGUUGAAAAGAUGAUGUAAAUCUCGAAAAUAUGUUUUGAGAGUCUCGGUGUGAUUUGAAAAGAAUCGGAGGCCAUACGAGCGAAAAUGAGCGAAAACGGAGAAGAAACGGAAAGAGGCUGAAAAUUCGGCUAUCCUAAAAGGCUGAUUUUCUGAA